GACGAACGCUGGCGGCGUGCUUAACACAUGCAAGUCGAACGGAAAGGCCCUGCUUUUGUGGGGUGCUCGAGUGGCGAACGGGUGAGUAACACGUGAGUAACCUGCCCUUGACUUUGGGAUAACUUCAGGAAACUGGGGCUAAUCCCGGACAGGAGCUCCUGUUGCAUGGUGGGGGUUGGAAAGUUGCGGCGGUUGGGGAUGGACUCGCGGAUUAUCAGCUUGCUGGUGGGGUAGUGGCUUACCAAGGCUUUGACGGGUAGCCGGCCUGUGAGGGGGACCGGCCACAAUGGGACUAAGAUACGGCCCAGACUCCUACGGGAGGCAGCAGUGGGGAAUAUUGCACAAUGGGCGGAAGCCUGAUGCAGCAACGCCGCGUGCGGAAUGACGGCCUUCGGGGUGUAAACCGCUUUCGCCUGAGACGAAGCGUGAGUGACGGUACUGGGUAAAGAAGCACCGGCUAACUACGUG
rnacentral:rRNA from 1 species